GGCGGAAGCUGUAGAUGUAGAUAUAGAUGAACUUCUCGAUAUGGCCAGCGAUGAAGUUCGUAAAGCUUACCUCAAUGAACUGUUAGCCGAGUCUAAGAAACCACAGAAAGAAAUAAGCAGAUUCAUCAGCGAUCUAAUGGAUAGAGCGAAGACUUUGUAACUUUUCAUCGAUCCGUCGUUCACAAUUACUCGUUAUCAUUUCGCGUAGCGUUUAGUGCAACCGGAAAAUUAUGAAAUCCGAAAGAACGGCAACUGGAAAUCCGUUCUGGAAAACUCUUGCCAGCCACACACAUCUAGAGAUUAGUACCCUGUCUAUGUUUUGUAUAGAUAAUUAAUUUUAUUUAAUUAAGAUUAUUUUAGGAAUUUAUUCAAGAUGACGUACUCUAUUCACACAUUCUUGACAUGUUUGACGUGAUACAUAAUUUAGAUGCUUAUUGUUAUAAACAUUAUCAAUUUGAUAUCGGUA